AGGAGGGCCGGGCACGGCCUCCGCGAGGUGGGUGGUGCCGGGCGCCGCGGCCCCACCCGCGCUGUCAGCUUGGAAGCUGAGCCCCGCGUCCUCGGUGCAAAGUCCUCCCGGCCGCCGGGGCUCCCCAAAACACGGAGGCCUAGCCGGCUCCCAUUACGCGGGGAAGCGUCCGCGUUCCUCACCGCGAGGAGUCACCGGAGCCCCCGAAUUCAAAUAGGGGCAGGCGAGGAGGAAGGGGAGGAUCCUCUUUUGGACUUUCUGCGUCGCAAUUCCUCCAGGUCUGCAGACAACCGAGUCGAGACAAACAUCACUUGGUGAAUUUAAAGAGAGACAAACUUCUGGUAUCUCAGAUCAAACGUGUGGGAAAAAAGCAUGUUGGCCACAACAUUCUGACUUGAGGUAUACUUUUGAAGAAUUAAGUGUCUUCACCUCUGGGAAAGGAAAGGAUUAUUUGACAGGUAAUGUGUGCACACCCUAUGAAGCUACACAAUGACAAAGAUGCUUCUUUGUACCCCGGCCCCCCAAAAUACUCAUUUUGUCAAUCUAGUCAAUACUCAAAGGAAAAAUUGGUUGUAAACAUGUUUUACAUAUGUUCACUGUUUUUUGUUCUUUUAUACAGUUUACUCAAGAAGCCUAUGUAUGCCCAGGCUGAAUUGUCUAAGCUUUUGAAAAGUGUCCUAUAACAUACAGCCUUAAUUUAUUAAUGUGAAAAAUAACUUGGAAGGAAAAUAUCAUGGUCCCAAAAUUUGUACCCUUGGAAGUAGCAUCCAGUCUACCACUAUGACUACACUGACUAAACAAGUCCUUGGAGCAAUACGGCAAAUGUCGGUUCCUGUGUGACUGCAUAGUGUAUAAAUGUUUUAACUGUGAAAAAUGAGCAAUACAUAGUUCUUGUUGCAGUUUUUCUCCAUCCUAGCAGAAGCAUCUUCAAUGUGUUAUCUUCGUUGACUUCUCUCAUUUUUACUAAAUAAACCUACACCUUUAGCAUACUCCAGAAGAAACAAGGAAUCAGAGGGGUUCUAUCUGUAAAGUUGAUAUAUAACAUAAUAUACCUUAAUACAAAUCUGUAAAAAAAUAAAAUAGUAUUGUUUGUAUUUCUAAACUUUAUGGCUACCCUUUAUAUAAAGGGAAACUGAUAACUGGUAUUUAACUUUCCAUUGGUCUUCAGUAUUUUGUUUUCAUCCUACAUGUAGGUAAAAGUAAAAGCCCAGUAAAAUCAGCCAUUAUAUUUACUUUUAAAUGGUUGACCAACAAGUUGUUCUUACCUUAUAGAUACUUAAGACACCAUCGUAUCUUAUAGAUAUUACAGCUAAUUCUGUUUCCCUCUUUCCAUUGGCUUUUGAAAGCCUGGAACAAAAUGUAUGUCCCAUCUGUAGAGAAUCUUACUGUGUGCAUUUUGAGAAGUAACCUCAUUUCAAGGUUCAUUUUAACUUUCUUCUGUCAUUUUCCUCGUGUACUCAUUUAUUUUCCCACCUACUUAAAGAAAAUAACAAACUUGUUUUUCUCUUCAUAAAUGUAAUAGAUAUUCACUAUGUAAGAUGCAUAAAAUACGUAUAAGAAAAAAGAAGAAAAUAAAAACGAUCAGUCCAGUGCUUGCUUGGGCAGCACAGAUGCUAAAAUUGGAACGAUACAGAGAAGAUUAGCAUGGCCCCUGCGCAAGUAUGACACACAGAUUCAUGAAGCUUCCAUGUUUUAAAAAAUAAGAAGGCAAGAUCAGUCCAUUCACCACCAUUUUUAGUUCUUACUAUUUUGUUUAUCCUUUUCUGUUGCAUAUAUAUGCAUUUCUAAAAGUGGAUCAUUUUAUACAUAAUAUUUUACACUGCUUUAUGAACUGAACAAUAUAUUUAACAUCUUCAAUAAAAUUAAAUACUACUCUAUAA